UACAGAGGUCUCAAGCGUUGUUCGGAUUCAUUGGGCGUAAAGGGUGCGUAGGCGGCGCGGUAAGUCGGGUGUGAAAUCUUGGAGCUUAACUCCGAAACUGCAUUCGAUACUGCCCGUGCUUGAGGACUGGAGAGGAGACUGGAAUUUACGGUGUAGCGGUGAAAUGCGUAGAUAUCGUAAGGAAGACCAGUGGCGAAGGCGGGUCUCUGGACAGUUCCUGACGCUGAGG
rnacentral:rRNA from 1 species